rnacentral:rRNA from 1 species
CCUACGGGGUGCUGCAGUGGGGAAUAUUGCACAAUGGGGGAAACCCUGAUGCAGCGACGCCGCGUGAGUGAAGAAGGGCUUCGGCGCGUAAAGCUCUGUCAGUGGGGAAGAAACACGGUUCGCGAGAGCUGCGGACGGUACCCGAUCAAGAAGCCCCGGCUAACUACGUGCCAGCAGCCGCGGUAAUACGUAGGGGGCAAGCGUUAUCCGGAUUCACUGGGUGUAAAGGGAGCGUAGACGGCGGGACAAAUCUGGAGUGAAAGGCCGGGGCCCAACCCCGGGACUGCUCUGGAAACUGCCUGGCUUGAGUACAGGAGAGGUAAGUGGAAUUCCUAGGGUAGCGGUGAAAUGCGUAGAUAUUAGGAGGAACACCAGUGGCGAAGGCGGCUUACUGGACUGUAACUGACGUUGAGGCUCGAAAGCGUGGGGAGCAAACAGGAUUAGAUACCCGGGUAGUC